rnacentral:rRNA from 1 species
UCGUGGAUCGAUGAAGAACGCA